AACGAACGCCGGCGGCAGGCCUAACACAUGCAAGUCGAGCGAACCCUUCGGGGUUAGCGGCGGACGGGUUAGUAACGCGUGGGAAUAUACCCUUUGGUACGGAAUAGCCUCGGGAAACUGAGAGUAAUACCGUAUGUGCCCUUCGGGGGAAAGAUUUAUCGCCAAAGGAUUAGCCCGCGUUGGAUUAGGUAGUUGGUGGGGUAAUGGCCUACCAAGCCUACGAUCCAUAGCUGGUUUGAGAGGAUGAUCAGCAACACUGGGACUGAGACACGGCCCAGACUCCUACGGGAGGCAGCAGUGGGGAAUCUUAGACAAUGGGCGCAAGCCUGAUCUAGCCAUGCCGCGUGGACGAUGAAGGCCUUAGGGUUGUAAAGUCCUUUCAGAUGGGAAGAUAAUGACGGUACCAUCAGAAGAAGCCCCGGCUAACUCCGUG
rnacentral:rRNA from 1 species